rnacentral:rRNA from 1 species
CAUGCAAGUCGAACGAGAAUCUACUGAAAGAGUUUUCGGACGAUGGAAGUAGAGGAAAGUGGCGGACGGGUGAGUAACGCGUGAGGAACCUGCCUUGAAGAGGGGGACAACAGUUGGAAACGACUGCUAAUACCGCAUGAAGCAUAGGGGUCGCAUGAUUCUUAUGCCAAAGAUUUAUCGCUUCAAGAUGGCCUCGCGUCUGAUUAGCUAGUUGGCGGGGUAACGGCCCACCAAGGCGACGAUCAGUAGCCGGACUGAGAGGUUGAACGGCCACAUUGGGACUGAGAUACGGCCCAGACUCCUACGGGAGGCAGCAGUGGGGAAUAUUGGGCAAUGGGCGCAAGCCUGACCCAGCAACGCCGCGUGAAGGAAGAAGGCUUUCGGGUUGUAAACUUCUUUUAAGAGGGAAGAGCAGAAGACGGUACCUCUAGAAUAAGCCACGGCUAACUACGUGCCAGCAGCCGCGGUAAUACGUAGGUGGCAAGCGUUGUCCGGAUUUACUGGGUGUAAAGGGCGUGCAGCCGGGUCUGCAAGUCAGAUGUGAAAUCCAUGGGCUCAACCCAUGAACUGCAUUUGAAACUGUAGAUCUUGAGUGUCGGAGGGGCAAUCGGAAUUCCUAGUGUAGCGGUGAAAUGCGUAGAUAUUAGGAGGAACACCAGUGGCGAAGGCGGAUUGCUGGACGAUAACUGACGGUGAGGCGCGAAAGUGUGGGGAGCAAACAGGAUUAGAUACCCUGGUAGUCCACACUGUAAACGAUGAAUACUAGGUGUGCGGGGACUGACCCCCUGCGUGCCGCAGUAAACACAAUAAGUAUUCCACCUGGGGAGUACGGUCGCAAGGUUGAAACUCAAAGGAAUUGACGGGGGCCCGCACAAGCGGUGGAUUAUGUGGUUUAAUUCGAAGCAACGCGAAGAACCUUACCAGGGUUUGACAUCC